AAAGCAUUCUUCAUUGCAGCAGCUGGAGCAUUGUGUGUCACUUCUUAGUAAAUUAAAUCAACAUUUUGAUUUUAGUGCAUGGGUAUGUAUCAGUUUUUACUCCCUCAACAAGUGCAUAAGUGUUCAUGUGUGUGUUUCCCUUCAUUCUAAGUAGGCGCAUGCAGAAGUGUGUGUUCGUGUGUUGGUAUAUGUUUGUGUUCAUCACCUUUCUGUUCUGUAGUUUAGGUAAACCAGCGGCCUGACGCAUGGCCUAGGGUCCUCCCCUCCUCUUUGGGUCUGUUUUCAUCCGUUGUUGCAGCUGCCUGCAUCUUCCUUACUUUGCUCCACGGCCUUCUGCAGCUCUGCUGUUCGGCUCUUCUCAGAGUGAUUUACCAGGAACAUCUUUUCCUUUUCUCCAUGUCUUCCGCCAGAGGUUAACACCGGCUGGUGUGUGGAGUUGAUGACUGUCUCAACACAUGUUAAUUGUUCUCCCAAUGUGCUAAGAAUAACACCGGGACCCCAACCAUCAUCAUUAGUUUCUCGAUCUAAUUCUCCAUCCAUUUUACUGUCAAUGGAGGAGUGUUCUUUUAUUGAUUUUAAAGGAGAAUUUGGGC
ensembl:lncRNA